GACGUAGGGGGCCAGCGUUGUUCGGAAUUACUGGGUGUAAAGGGUUCGUAGGCGGUGUGGCAAGUCGGGAGUGAAAUUUCUGGGCUCAACCCAGAGUCUGCUUCCGAAACUGCUGUGCUUGAGUGUGGGAGAGGCGCGUGGAAUUGCAGGUGUAGCGGUGAAAUGCGUAGAUAUCUGGAGGAACACCGGUGGCGAAGGCGGCAUCCUGGACCGAAACUGACGCUGAGGAGCGAAAGCAUGGGGAGCGAACAGG
rnacentral:rRNA from 1 species